UCCUGAGAUGUUGAGCAUUCAAUCUGGCUUGUAACCAUAUGUCUUCUCAUCUGUAAAUUUUCAUUUUUGCAUCUUAGAGACUUGUAAGGGUUUGUCUUGAGACUUUCAGAAAUCCCCACCUUGUUCUGUAGUUUCAGCCUCCCCACCCUCUCCCAGAUCACAUUUCCACUGAAUCUUGUGUUCUCUGUAUUUCCAUACUAUGUCUUAACCACCCCUCUAACUUUGACAUGAGCGACUUUUCUGUUCACAGGAGUUUCACCCAGGAAACUGGGACUAUUCCUACAACAAAGUCCUACUCAUCUAGUGCUUUUUCUGUGGAGUGCACUGUAGAUUAGUUCCUUUUCCUCAUGUCAUGCAUCUGAGUUAUGGUUAUAUUCUAUUCUUAAGAUCCAACCUCUUUUCCUAAGAACUCUGACUUUCCGUAUAUGAUUCCCUUCCAUCAGAAACACUGCCCCUGGGUUCCCUUCCUCCCACCCUUUUGCCCCUUGUCUCACCCCCCAGAACUCCAUAUCUUAUUACAAGUUAUUGUGCUUGUAGGAAUAGAGAAUAUUACACCAUGCCGAGAUGUGGAGGCUGGGGAGUGGCUGAGCCUACUAGCUAAUGACCUGAACAUCGUGGCACUGGGCCUACAUUUGAACUUCAGUAAAAUGGCAAGACCUCACACAUUGGACCUUCAGAGUUAACUCAGGAGGCAACUUUGGAAGCCCACACUUCCCUCUUAGCUAAAGCACGGCACGGCCUGCUGUCUCAUUGCCCAGGAAGCGCAUAGCUAACCACUCUCAGCCACGAUUUGGUCCCAGCUCCUAGAGCUCUGGCUUGCUGAAAAAAUACAGCCCAACCAGAUGGGAACUCCUGCCUGGCACUGGGGCUUCUAAGCCAUCAGGCAUCAUGGCGGAUGUGAAGGGAACCAACUCAGAAGCCUCUCCAGGAAAUCCUUAGUGCCAAAGGUGUUAGAGCAGCUUCAUUUAAACAUGUGAAGGAUCCCCGGCCCCAUCCCUGUCUUCCACAAGGUUGCUUUGUGUCUUACUGAAGCCCCUGGCUGUGCUUUUCUGGAACAGUGACACAGCAGACAACUCCUUUACCUCAAGGUUCAUUACCUUCUUGAUAUGAUACCUACUUGUUUAGGCCAUGAAAUUUCACUGUGAAUAAGCAAAGAUUUGGCAGGAUGUUCACCACUAGAGCAAGCACCUGAAGGAAACCUUGGCCUCACCUCGGCAUAUGUGACUAUUGCUGUUUCACAGGAGAUCCAUUCUAGAAAUGCCUUUGCUCAUAGCUGAACUGAUUAACAAAACCUUGAAGAAAGCACAAAGUUUUAGUUCAAAA